rnacentral:rRNA from 1 species
UACGUAGGCAGCAAGCGUUGUUCGGAGUUACUGGGCGUAAAGAGUGCGUAGGCGGUCCUAUAAGUUCCGUGUGAAAUCUCCCGGCUCAACUGGGAGGGUGCGCGGAAGACUGUAGGGCUUGAGUGUGGGAGAGGUAAGCGGAAUUCCUGGUGUAGCGGUGAAAUGCGUAGAUAUCAGGAGGAACACCUGUGGCGAAAGCGGCUCACUGGACCACAACUGACGCUGAGGCGCGAAAGCUAGGGGAGCAAACAGG